CCCUUAGACGUUCUGGGCCGCACGCGCGCUACACUGACAAAGGCAACGAGCUACUCUUCACCGAAAGGUGUGGGUAAUCUUUUGAAACUUUGUCGUGCUGGGGAUAGAUCCUUGCAAUUUUUGAUCUUAAACGAGGAAUUCCUAGUAAGCGCAAGUCAUCAACUUGCGUUGAUUACGUCCCUGCCCUUUGUACACACCGCCCGUCGCUACUACCGAUUGAAUGGUUUAGUGAGGCCUUCGGAUCCGCGACUCGUUUGUGGAGAAGUUGGACAAACUCAGUCAUUUAGGGGAAGUAAAAGUCGUAACA
rnacentral:rRNA from 1 species